rnacentral:rRNA from 1 species
CCCUUAGAUGUUCUGGGCCGCACGCGCGCUACACUGCCGAUGGCAACGAGUUUUUCCUUCGCCGAAAGGUGUGGGUAAUCUUUUGAAACAUCGUCGUGCUGGGGAUAGAUCAUUGCAAUUUUUGAUCUUGAACGAGGAAUUCCUAGUAAGCGCGAGUCAUCAGCUCGCGUUGAUUACGUCCCUGCCCUUUGUACACACCGCCCGUCGCUACUACCGAUUGAAUGGUUUAGUGAGGACUCCUGAUUGGCGCCGCCGCCCCGGCAACGGAGCAGCGGACUGCCGAAAAGUUGUUCAAACUUGAUCAUUUAGAGGAAGUAAAAGUCGUAACA